GGGGCUGUGGCUCAGUGGUAGAGCACCCGCCUCCCAUGUGUGAUGCACUGGGUUCAAUCCUCAGCACCA
rnacentral:tRNA from 1 species